rnacentral:rRNA from 1 species
UUAGGGGAUGGUAGGGGAGCGUUCCAUGAACGGAGAAGUACGACCGAAAGGACGUGUGGAGAUCAUGGAAGAGAGAAUGCCGGUGUGAGUAGCGGAACGUGGGUGAGAAUCCCACGCACCGAAAACCCAAGGUUUCCAGAGGAAGGUUCGUCCGCUCUGGGUAAGUCGGGACCUAAGGCGAGGCCGAAAGGCGUAGUCGAUGGACAACAGGUAGAGAUUCCUGUACCCGUAUAUAUGUGAAGGAAUGACGGAGAGAGGAAGCUGCAGCCAGCGGCUGGAAGAGCUGGUGCAAGCGAGAUAUCGGGAUGGCAGGCAAAUCCACCAUCCGAAACGAGAAGGCGUGAAGCGUACGGAAAGCUACGGCGAGUACGGAAGGCAGUGGAGGAACUUCCAAGAAAAGUUUCUAACGUUAAGUAUAUAUGGCCCGUACCGAAAAUGGACACACAUGGGUGAGGAGAGAAUCCUAAGGUGAGCGAGAGAACUAUAGCUAAGGAACUCUGCAAAAUGACUCCGUAACUUAGGGAGAAGGAGUGCUCAUAGAGAUAUGAGCCGCAGUGAAACGGCCCAAGCGACUGUUUACCAAAAACACAGCUCUCUGCUAAGCCGCAAGGCGAAGUAUAGGGGGUGACGCCUGCCCGGUGCUGGAAGGUUAAGGGGAGGGGUUAACGCAAGUGAAGCCCUGAACUGAAGCCCCAGUAAACGGCGGCCGUAACCAUAACGGUCCUAAGGUAGCGAAAUUCCUUGUCAGGUAAGUUCUGACCCGCACGAAAGGCGUAACGAUUUGGGCGCUGUCUCAGCUGUAGACUCGGUGAAGUCUUAGUACCUGUGAAGAUGCAGGUUACCCGCGACUAGACGGAAAGACCCCAUGGAGCUUCACUGCAGGUUGAUAUUGGGAUUUGAUGCAGCAUGUACAGGAUAGGUAGGAGGCAAAGAGAUGGAUACGCCAGUAUUCAAGGAGCCGCUGUCGGGAUACUACCCCUGUUGUAUUGGAUUUCUAGCCGGACGACGUAGUGCCGUUGACGGGACAGUGUCAGUCGGGCAGUUUGACUGGGGCGGUCGCCUCCCAAAGAGUAACGGAGGCGCCCAAAGAUACCCUCAGCUUGGAUGGAAACCAAGCGCAGAGUGCAAAGGCAAAAGGAUGUUUGACUGCGAGACCCACAAGUCGAGCAGGGACGAAAGUCGGGCUAGUGAUCCGGCGGUGCUGAAUGGAAAGGCCGUCGCUCAACGGAUAAAAGCUACCCUGGGGAUAACAGGCUGAUCUCCCCCAAGAGUUCACAUCGACGGGGAGGUUUGGCACCUCGAUGUCGGCUCAUCGCAUCCUGGAGCUGAAGUCGGUUCCAAGGGUUGGGCUGUUCGCCCAUUAAAGCGGUACGCGAGCUGGGUUCAGAACGUCGUGAGACAGUUCGGUCCCUAUCUGUCGUGGGCGCAGGAAAUUUGAGAAGAGCUGUCCUCAGUACGAGAGGACCGGGAUGGACGCAUCAAUGGUGGACCAGUUGUCACGCCAGUGGCAUAGCUGGGUAGCUAAAUGCGGAAGGGAUAAACGCUGAAGGCAUCUAAGUGUGAAACCCACUUCAAGAUGAGAUUACCCAUUGCGCAAGCAAGUAAGACCCCUUAAAGACGAUAAGGUAGAUAGGUCAGGAGUGUAAGCAUGGUGACAUGUUAAGCGGACUGAUACUAAUAGGUCGAGGGCUUGACC